CCUGGAUCCCGGGGCCGAGGGAACCUCACCAGUUUCAGAGUUUGGCCACUUGGGCCAGCUCCCUCCCUGACCCUACCUGUCAGAUAAUCGGAAAUCCAGGAGCGGGGCGGAGGCCGCCCAGGGGCUAUAAACCCGUUAAAGCCUGUCUGGGUAUCUGCUCCUCUCACACCCCUGCUUUUGGCCUCUCAUCAAGUACCACACUGACAUCUGCGGAUGCCGCCCCAGGCCUGUGUCAUCUCUCCGGCGGAGCGCGAGGUGCCAUCGGCACCCCCAUUUCGCAGCCAGCACUCUCAGAGGAGGAUGAGAUGGUUGGAUGGCAUCACCGACUCAAUGGACAUAGUUUGAGUAAGCUACGGGAGUUGGUGGUGGACAGGGAAGCCUGGCGUGUUGCAGUCCAUGGGGUCGCAAAGAGUUGGACACAACUGAGCGACUGAACUGAGCAUUCUCAAAACAAUGUUUCCACCGAAAAACUGAACAAUACUUCUCUGUUUGGGAAUUCCAUCAUUGUCCAUACAGCAUGACACACAGAAGCUUACUCCCUGACCAGAGAUUGAACCCGAGCCCCCCAGCACGGAAGCUCAGAGUUCUAACCACUGGACCACCAGUAAAUUCCCUUGGUUAGUUUCUCUUGAGUAUAACUUGUUCCCUGUCUCAACCACCAUUCAUUCCCAGUUUGGUGGUGGGCACACAGGGCAGACCUUCACCACUGGACCAUGAGGGAUGUCCCCAACUUUUCAUUCUUUUUUAAAAUUUAUUUUGAAUUGGAGGAUAAUUGCUUUAGAAUGUUCUGUUGGUUUCUGCCAUACAACAACAUGAAUCAGCCAUAAGUAUACAUAUGUUCCCUCCCUCUUGAACCUCCCUCCCAUCCCACCCCAACUUUUCUGAUUUUAUGUAUUUAUUUUAAUUGAAGAUAAUUGCUUUACAGAAUUUUGUUGUUUUCUGCCAAAUAUCAACAAGAAUCAGCCAUAAGUAUACGUAUGCCCCUUCCCUCUUGAACCUCGCUCCCAACCCCACCCCAACUUUUAAUUUUUAUCUUUAGUUUACAUUGAAUCGGCAUCGUCUGUUUGUGGACAGUUUGAAAUAAUUUGAUAUGAUUCUGUCAGCUUAUUGUAUAGUUACUCAUCUAUUUAAUCCCUGGAGAAGGAAAUGGGCACCCACUCCAGUAUUCUUGCCUGGAUAAUCCCACGGACAGAGGAGCCUGGCAGUCUAUAGUCCAUGGGGUUGCAAAGAGUUGGACACAACUGAGUGACUGAGCACAAUCUAUUUAACACCUUUAUCUCUUCUUGAGAAUAUUUUUGAAAUUUACAUGGCCCUAAAAGAUCAUCCAUUUAUCCCCAACUUUCUAGUUUUUAGCAAUGAACUGAGCAAAGAAUUCUCUGAGUAAUUAGGUUCCUCCAGAGCUAUCCCCUUCUCUCUUACCACUUUCAUGCUUGGUUCUUUCUUCUGCACACUGUGUGAUUGUACAGACCUUGGAGUCUAUGCCACAGGUUUUCAUUUCCUCUGUGCCAAGUACUGUAUUUUAUGCUCGUAAGUACGUUUCAUUUUUAAUUGUCGUUAUUUUUUCCCCGAGCAUUUCUAGUUCUGUUUUGAUUUUGUUGUCUUGCCGUUUUGUUUUUUAUUGUUGUUUAGUCACUAAGUCCGGUCUGACUCUUUGCAACCCCAUGGAUGGUAGCCCACCAGGCCUCCUCUGUCCGUGGGAUUUCCAGGCAAGAAUGCCUUGCCCAGGCAAGAAUGCUGGAGUGGGCUGCAUCAUUGCUUAUAUCUAAAAAGGAAGACACAGUGAGAGACUGGCUGUCUGCAAGCCAGGAAACACCGCCUCACCAGGGAACUGAAUCAACCAGCCCCUUGCUCUUGGACUUUUCAGCCUCCAGGACUGUGAGAAAUAAAUUCCUUUUGGUUUAAGCCUCCCAGAUUUGGUAUUUCAUUAUGAUAGCCUGAACCGACUAAGACACUGGUCCUUAUUUCGUUCUACAGCAGGUUUUGGUCACUUUUAUUGUAUAUUAAUGGGCAUCAGAGAAGGACUUGCUAAAAAACAC
ensembl:lncRNA